rnacentral:rRNA from 1 species
UACGGAGGGUGCAAGCGUUAAUCGGAAUUACUGGGCGUAAAGCGUGCGCAGGCGGUUUGUUAAGUCUGCUGUGAAAUCCCCGAGCUCAACUUGGGAAUUGCAGUGGAUACUGGCAAGCUGGAGUACGGUAGAGGAAGGUGGAAUUCCCGGUGUAGCAGUGAAAUGCGUAGAGAUCGGGAGGAACACCAGUGGCGAAGGCGGCCUUCUGGACCAGUACUGACGCUCAUGCACGAAGGCGUGGGGAGCAAACAGG